rnacentral:rRNA from 1 species
UACGUAGGGUGCGAGCGUUUAAUCGGAAUUACUGGGCGUAAAGCGUGCGCAGGCGGUUCGUGAUGUCUGAUGUGAAAGCCCCGGGCUCAACCUGGGAACUGCAUCGGAAACUAGCGGGCUGGAGUGUGGGCAGAGGGGGGUGGAAUUCCACGUGUAGCAGUGAAAUGCGUAGAGAUGUGGAGGAACACCGAUGGCGAAGGCAGCCCCCUGGGCUAACACUGACGCUCAUGCACGAAAGCGUGGGGGGCAAACAGG